rnacentral:tRNA from 1 species
AUUCUAGUAGCUUAUCGAUAAAGCACUGGCCGUAAACCAAAGAUUGAAGACUAUAAUCUUCCUAGAGUA